GGGACGUUGUUCAGACACGCAUUCUGCUGGUGUCGCCGAACCUGGCCUACUGAUGUCUGGUCGCCCGUCAUUGCUGCUUCGGAGAAAGAACGACCCAACCCCACCCCGGCUGCCUGCCAGCUCUUCUCAUCCAUGGGGAUUGGUAUUUGAGUUACAGCAGCCAUGUUGUGAUCAUGAGGGAAAGGUGAAGAAGAGAAACCCUGGUCUUUUUAAUCUUGAGCUACUAGAACAACCAGCAACUUGGCUACCUCCAGAUAUUUUCUGAUGUAAGGGAAAAUUAUUGCUUAAGUCUCAAAUAUUCACAACUGAUACAAGGCUUGUGUACUUUGAUGACUAUUUCUGAGAAAUCACAUAUAUUACUCUAAGAAAACCUUUUACUUGAGCUAAUUUAAUUGAAUUUUUGGUCCUUGAAACCACAAAGUCCAGAGGAAAAAUAAACAAUUCGAGUAGCUGGAAUGGAUGUUGAAGAAUGGUUUGAGCUUAGAGGCAAAACAAGUGACAUAUUCUGAAGUCUUUGAGUAGGAAUGGCAGUGAAACAAGGAACUCACAUUGAGGACUAGUAGAAGAUAAGGUCCUAGGACUUCCCUGUUGGUGCAGUGGAUAAGAAUUUGCCUGCCAAUGCAGGGGACAUGAGUUUGAUCCCUGGUCCAGGAAGAUUCCACAUGCUGCAGAGCAACUAAUCCCAUGUGCCAUAACUGAGCCUGGGCUCUAGAGCCUGUGAGCUGCAAUUGCCGAGCCUGCAUUCUGCAACUACUGAAGACCGUGCAUCUAGAGCCUGUGCUCCACAACAAGAGAAGCCACCACACUGAGAAGCCGCACGGUGCAACUCAAGUAGCCCCCACUCACCACGACUAAAGAAAGCCCUCACAGAGCAGCGAAGACUCAGCACAGCCAAAAGUAAAUAUUUUUUUAAAUUAUAUGAAAAAAGAAGAUAAGGUUCUAGCAAGAUAGGUUAAAGCACUCUGUAGCUUUAAAGUGUGUCUGGAAGCAAAAAAACUUUUGAAAAUAUAUGGCAGUGUGCUGAAAACAGUCAUUCAAAAGAAGUAAUCUAGUAGUGAGAGAAAAUCAUAAUCUCUGCAGUGGGUUGCAAAUUCAAGAUGAAUAAACUUUAUUUUGUAAAUAAUAAACUUUAUUUUGUAAAUCA